ACGAACGCUGGCGGCGUGCUUAACACAUGCAAGUCGUACGGUAAGGCCCUUUCGGGGGUACACGAGUGGCGAACGGGUGAGUAACACGUGAGUAACCUGCCCACAACUUUGGGAUAACGCUAGGAAACUGGUGCUAAUACUGGAUAUGUGUUCCUGCUGCAUGGUGGGGGUUGGAAAGCUCCGGCGGUUGUGGAUGGACUCGCGGCCUAUCAGCUUGUUGGUGGGGUAGUGGCCUACCAAGGCGGCGACGGGUAGCCGGCCUGAGAGGGUGACCGGCCACAUUGGGACUGAGAUACGGCCCAGACUCCUACGGGAGGCAGCAGUGGGGAAUAUUGCACAAUGGGCGCAAGCCUGAUGCAGCAACGCCGCGUGCGGGAUGACGGCCUUCGGGUUGUAAACCGCUUUCAGCAGGGACGAAGCUUUUUGUGACGGUACCUGCAGAAGAAGCACCGGCUAACUACGUG
rnacentral:rRNA from 1 species